ensembl:lncRNA
UGGGCCUCAGUUUCUUUGCCUAUAAAACGGGACGGUUGGAUUAAGGGCUUUGCCAGCUCUAAUGUUCCAUGACUAAGCACCUGGAGACUCCCCAGAUUCCAGAACUCUCUGGAAGCAAUGGCUGCUGAGGGGAAGCUGCUGCUUCUUGGCAGAGUCUCAACCAACUGAGCUACAAGGGAAGUCGAUACGGAUGGGUUUAAUAAAAUCUUGGGCAUACGUAGAUGACACUUCUAUCAAAAUGAUCAGCAGGUAUGACCAACAUACAUCAUGCUUAAAUGUCCAUUGAUGAAGACCCCCUUAAAGACUUUCCAGAGAUGUUUAACUAACAAUCCGCAUGAUGUGGAGAGAAGAUGAAUAGGUAAGAAUUUUACUUAUUCCACACUUAAAAGGAAUAUAAUUAUAUUUCUUUUAAAUAAUUGUGCAGACAAUAU